UGUUUGUGGGCCAAGCCAGGCUUCCAGGGAAAAGGCCUCUGAAGGAUACACUAACAAAACAACAGGGUAAUCUGCGAGCUCCAAGCAUAUCACCUUCCAUCUCCUGCUAGAGGGAUUCUCAUUUAACUAAACCAGAACAAAAUGAAAUGGGGGAAAAUCAGCUAAUUCUUUUGAAGGGGCUUUGUACUGCAAAGGAGUGUCCGGGAGGUGUCCUGAAGUCUUGCAGAAGACAAGCAGAUGCAGAGAGAGACUUCCUAGCAGUUACGCCUGAAGCAGCAAGGUGUGGUAGCAGCAGAUCUGCAGAGUGAAAGAAAGGCAUGGCGCUGUCUUAGCAGACUUCGGAUCUUCUGAGAAGGCUUGCCUCUGGUAUUCCACCCGAGAUCCGAUCUGCAAGUGGAAAAGUUGCCUGGUUCCCACUGAUCACUUUGGAUUUAGGAGCCAAGAGAUGGUGUGCUGGUGGGGCACAGCAGCAGAUGAGAGCGGGGAGAAGUAUAUUUCACCUAGCAGCUGUGACAUGGGUUUCCAUCCCCAGUCUGGCAGGAAGACGUACAGGUUAAAUUUCUAGUUGCCAGCUUUUGCAGUUGUCUUGGAAGAGGUGUCGUGGUAUGUGACAGCCCACUCUCACCAUUGUCUUGCCCUGUGUAAGUGCCCGUAGCAGGAAUCAGACCCCCUCUCAGUCACAUCCAGAAAUGAACACAUCCUGGACAUGGCUUUCCAGCAGUUGCCUCCGGACCUGCGUACUUUAUGGCCCCUUGCACUGCUGCUAGGGCUGUGGCAGCCCUCUGUGGUGUCCUGAGUCCUUUUCAAAGCGAGUCCUUUUCAAAGCAACUCCUUUCCGAGGCAGCGUCCUGUAAGUGUAACCUGUGUUUCUGGUUUUGGAUGUCUUACCUUGCAUUUGACUUUUCAAAUCAUGUUCCACUGGAGUGUGGCCAACUCUCAGUUGUUUCAGAUUGUUGUGUAUUGAUAGUCCAGUCCUGCCUGUUGUUUUCCUACCGCCAAUCAUGUUGGCACCUGCAAACUUCGCCACAACAAGGAUUUUUAUAGCGUCAUUUAGAUCAUUGAUAAAAAUAUUGAAUAAAAUGGUAAUGGGAGUUUCACUCUUCUUUUAUCCCAGAUACUUUUACCCAGUGCAAUAUUGCUGUACAUUUAUUGAAUUGUGUCUACUAGAACAUCCA